UGGGGAUGUUCCUUUUCUGCAUCUGUGAAGGAAAAAACAACAAAACCCCGCGGUGUUUUUGCGAGGAGAACGACUCUGCCACGUUCCCCUCCUGGAGCACCAGCUGGUUUUACACCCCAAGAUUCCCUUUGGGAACGUUCCCAAGCACUGAGCUCCAGCAGCAGAUCCCAUGGAAAACACCCAGGUCCUGCCUGGAAUACAGGAACUUCCAGAGGGGAAGUUCUUGGGGACUGUGAGAUCUCUGCGCUGCGUCCCGGAGGUCACGUAAAUGUUUAUGGAAGAGGAGCAGCAAGCUGCAGCCUGGCCACAGGAAGAGGAGGAGGAGGAUGAGAUGAUGGUUUUUAUGUGCAAGGAAUGAGGGCCUGGGCACGUGUCUCUUGCUUUUUGGAGUUAUGGGCAGUGUCUCCCCGUCAUGGGGACUCUCAGAGGUUCCUGCGCUCGUGGGCUCGCAGCCCUGCUGAAAAGGCAAACCCUGGAGAUGGAAAAUGGGAAGUGGACGCCUGGCGAGAAGCUAAGCCUGCUCUCACACCUAAAAUAGGCAAAGCAGCAAGAAGGAAGUCUAAGAAAUUAAGGAAGGUGGAAGGAAGAAGGAGGGUGGGGUGCUGAAAUAGUUGGGUCAAAGGCAAAAAAGAAGAGACCCAAAAUAGCCUCCUGCUCUAGACAGCUCUGUUCAGGAAAUUUUUGAAGCCUUGUUGUUUUCAGUAACACACGGAAUUCACAAUAUCCCAAAUUAUUAUUCCUCACUUUUAUUUAUUUAUUUGGUUUUUUUGGGGUCAUCUAGAGAAGACCAAUAUUCAUUACCUCAAUAUUCAUUAUGUCAAUAUUCAUUAUGUCAAUAUUCAUUAUCUCAAUAUUCAUUAUCUCAAUAUUCACGGAUCAAUCAAUAUUUGAUUCAACAUAUCAAAUUCAUGGGAGAUGUGGCCAAGAAGCCCAGAAAGCUGUAGGAAAAGGCAGGGAAAAAGAGGGUUAAUGCAGCAGGUGACGAGGGACAUUUGCCACUGACUGAAACACCCCCAGAACAGAACUGGGGCUGGGAGUCCCCUGUGAGCUCCAUUUGGGUGAGAAACACUCACAGGGCUCAGCCUCCUGCCCCGGAGAUUUUGCACUGUGUGGUUACAGCUAAAGUCAAAGUUUCCAUCAGGGGAAAGAGAAAACGAGUGAGGCAGCAAGCUCUGCUCUGAAUUUCAGUUUGGGGAGCUGGAUUUGGUCUCUUUCAGGUCAGUUUGGAGUCCUCAGGUGAUACAAAAGCGAUAAAAAUGUACAAUUAUUUUGCUGUUAUAAUCACGGUAAGCUAUAAACUCGUGGCCAGAUGUUAAAGUCUAAUAUCAGAAUAAAUAUUAAAAAAGACCCUGCAGUGUCUGGCUCAGUAAUCUGGAUUUUUUUACAGGGGGCUUAACCAAGAGACCCCAAAAAGUUUCAACAGGGGAUAGAAAGGAAGAGUUAAAAAAACCCU